UUUAGGAUCAGAGAAACUUGGCAUAUGGAAAGCCAGUGCAGCCCAAACAUAUACGAGUGACAUCAGCAUUUUUGAGCCAUUUAUGCUAUUCACUUCUGUUGGUUCCCAGCAGUGCCUUGUGUCUUAUGUAAGCCUGCACUCUACAUCCUGUCCUGCUGUUCUCAUGCAUGAAAAUUCAUUGGCGUUAUCUUACUGUAGGUUUUGAGAGCUGAAUAGGUACUAGUUGCUUGUUGUCUCAAAUGUCUACAUGCAAAUUUCUUAGAGCAUGCCAAAGAGAUCUAUGCCGGGAGCAUAAUACUGUCCUCCUAGGAGACAUCAGAGGAGUAACUCGGAGUGAGACGCAGCUCAUCCUCCUGCUCCUUUCCGUAAUGGGAACUGUAACCACCGUGAAGUAAUAUGGCUGUGGAGAUAAUCGUGAGAGAGAGGUUUUACUGGACAGACGCUUUGAUCUGUAUCGUACAUAGAUGGACCACUAAUGCAAUUUUGAUGUUUGGUGAUAAAUCAACCAUAAAAACCAAAGGACUAAAGUUUCAACAGAAGCUUCGAUAAUAUUAAGACUGAAAAAAAAAAAAAGGCUUUUAUAUACUGUUACAGUGCAUUUCUUAUUACAAGGUCUUGGAGAGGAAUUGUGCCUUCAGAUACUGAAGCUUUAAACUUGUUCUUGUAGUUAGCGUUUAGUCAUGCUUAAUGACGAUACUGUCACUUGAUGGGUGAAACUGAAGCAAACCCUCCAUUAUAAGCUUUCAAAAACAAACAUUCCUUUUGUUCUUCAUGCUUGCUAAAUCUAGCUGAAACUUGCUGGCAUAAAAUCCUGUAUUAACACAAUGUUUAUAGUCUAAGUAAAUCGGGCACUUUUGAACAGUAUCUGAUGUUCCGGUUAAAAAAAAAAAAGUUUCUUAAAUAUACUGUAGUUUCUUUUGUUAGUGCUCUAGCAGUGUGGGGGAGCCAAAUUCCUGAUUACCUGUCUGGUGAACUUGGUUGUCCUUGUCUGGCUCCAUGUCUUGUUUUGAACAGCGGGAACGUUUCCUUAUGCGCACCGAUGUAGCGCAGUCAUGUACGUGACGGUACAAGAUCUAUAGCUCUGCAGUGGAACCACGUACAGAGGGAAGAAGGGUUGGCAUGGAGGAGAGGCGCACCUGGACGGGGGUGCUGAUGUGGAAGGCCCGUGGAAAUGCCUCAGUCUGAACAACGCCAGAAGAGAGUUUUAAUGGCACAAGAAGGUUGAGGGGAAAUAGGUCUACACUUCUGCAGAAAUCAAGAUACAGCACAGUUCAGCCGAAUGCAGGGUUGUUAUUCUUCUGGUGUUGAAAAUGUUUCUAAGUAUUCCUGAAGACUGAGCUCUUUCCAAAUGUGUUAUCUUAAACUGCGCAGUUCAUCAUUUGGAGUGUUCAGCGCACUAACAGAGUACGUUGAUACACAGAAAUCACAGUGUGAGUUCACAGUUUUGAGUGAGUGGUGAGGUAUGUUGUGAACUGUUGAUAACUUACAGAAAAGGCUCAAAUUGGCACCUUCUGGAAAGUACGAUGUCCCGAAGCUGAUGCUUGGCAGCGGAAGAUGCCCUGCUCACCUUCUGCAGCUUGGCAGAAAAAUGCUCCUUAGUGCGUGAGCUUCCUAACCUUGUAUCCCAGGGUACAGACUGCUCAGGGCUGCUGGCGCAGAGUUUUUCUUCUAUUUUUUAACCUUCACCAAACUGUCUCCUUUCCCCAUAUCCUCAGUUCCAGGCAAACAGAAUAGUAAAAUAGAGGGCAGGAUUAUUUAAUAAGAUAGAAAUUGGAAACAAAAGGGUAAAAGUAGAACAGACUGAAAAAUCUUGUUCUGGUUUAAGCAAAUGAAGACCUGUCUGGCUGUAUAGCUCUUGUUACCUAGAAUUUCUAAGGCAUGUCUCAGCUGUACGACCUGGAGAGUCAGUGUUAGCUUUCAUUAAGUUUUCAACUUAAACUGCUGUGAGUUUUCCAUCACAUCUUCCGUUCUUUUGCCUCAUCCUGACUGGUGCUCUGACUGGGGGCGCAAAAGCUGUGUUGUUCAUGGCUCUUCCUGGAAAUGGGCACCUUUGUGCUUAGACUGUUUCUUUCUCUUUUUAUCCAUAUUCAUCGUGCUGGCUCACUGGUCCAUAUUUGAUAUGCAUCAGUAUUUUAACAUGCAUUCUUACAACAUACUCAUAUGCUUAGUGUGUACUGUUCACCUGAUGUUUUGUGAGAGUAUCUUUAGCUUUUUAUAGAGACCAUGUGGGAUAUAUUAUUAGCACUGCUGAUAAGCUUUGUAACUAAAUGAUCUGAUUAUAUGUGGCUCGUGCUUAUAAAUAAAUAUUCUUUCUCAUCAUUGCCCCUCAAUCUACUUCUGUUGGAGUUUUGCUUAUCUUAAAUUAUUGCUCAGUAAUCUUAACCAGUAAAACUUUAAGAGCAAUCAAUAUUGCACUCAUUUAUAGGAUAAGUAAACACAUUUUUUCCAUCAAAUUAUGUUAAGACAAGAAAUACUACAGCUAACUAAUUUUUAAUAGUAGUUUGACAGGUGUGCUCUUUAUCCUAAUAAGAGAAAGGCAGUGUUUUUAGGAAUGUUUUUCUUGGCGGUGGUUCUAUGAGCCUAACUCUCCCAUCUACCUGUAGGUCAAGGACAUCUUCAUUUUCACAUGGCCCUUUGCAGUGGGGUAGCUAAGCUGCCUGCUGGCAGGAUCAGGCACUUUCAGGUCACUGGAACAUGGUGAAUGUUCUGGUAUCAGGGAAGCUAGUUCUUCUGCAACCUGUCCCUCGUCUGUUCUGAAUAUAUCAAGGGAGUAUUUCAAGGAAAUAUCAAGGAAAGUUAAGGUGAAUUCUGGAGCUUUAUGAAGAUUGGUAUGCUGCUUCUCUAGCCUUUAUAGCAGAAAACUAUAACAGCAAACAGUGUGCCAUGUUCAAAACUUGAAGCGGCUGUGGUACAAGACAUUCUUUAACAAGGAAACUUGUGAUAUUUUCUUUGCUUAAAAUACAUAUAUGUCUGUUUUGACUCUUCCAUCUCCUUUGGUUUUUUUCUUCAAUUAUUGUUACUUGAAAAAUGAGUUGCUGCAUCUGAUCCAAUGCUUUUAAUAUUAUUAAUUACAAAUUAAAUGUAGUUGAUAUCGUCAGGUAUUAUGUGAUUAGACAUGAUUGUCUGGUCUUGUAGUUUUCAUUGAUUUCAGCCUGUGUGACUGCUUUGAGUUCACAAGCCUAAUAAAAAUUUUACAGUGAGUUUUUUUCACUUUGCAUAUGGUGACUAAAUGACUUGUCUUGGUAAACACACUAGUUGGAUCAAGAACUGCUAAGCUGGUGGUUCACCUAAAAGUCAGGUUAUGCCAAAUAUUAACUAGAAGCAGUAAAAUCUCAGGAAAGUAAAAUGAAUCUAUGUACUUAAACAUUCCUUGGUUCUAACAAACUGAUUGAAGCAGUGGUGCUGUGUAAUAAUGUGAAGUUGCACACCACAGUAUCGGGGAGAAGGACUGGUUUACUUGUUGCUCUUCCUUACACAACACAAAUUUCAAUGUGAAGUUCCUUAUUGUUGCGGUGAAUGAUACCUGACUUGUUUCUUAUUUUACAUAUAAGCCAGAAGAUCUUUAUUUACACAGCUUGAAUUGCUUUAUGCGUUGUAUUACUUUUAAAUUUCUCCUAAAAUACCAGCCAUCCCAAUAAAACAAAACCUCUGCUGCAA